rnacentral:rRNA from 1 species
UACGGAGGAUCCAAGCGUUAUCCGGAUUUAUUGGGUUUAAAGGGUCCGUAGGCGGGAAAUUAAGUCAGUGGUGAAAUCCUACAGCUUAACUGUAGAACUGCCAUUGAUACUGGUUUUCUUGAAUGUAGUUGAGGUGGGCGGAAUAUGUCAUGUAGCGGUGAAAUGCAUAGAUAUGACAUAGAACACCUAUUGCGAAGGCA